rnacentral:sRNA from 1 species
AGGGCCACCGGGUUGACUGCUCGAGUUGCCAACAGGUAGUCCCGGAUGACGUGGCCGUGGCGGUCCUC